rnacentral:rRNA from 1 species
UACAGAGGGGGCAAGCGUUAUUCGGAAUUAUUGGGCGUAAAGGGCGCGUAGGCGGCUUGGCAAGUGGAUGGUGAAAUCCCUCAGCUUAACCGAGGAACUGCCGUCCAAACUGCUUCGCUUGAGACCGGGAGAGGUGAGUGGAAUUCCCAGUGUAGCGGUGAAAUGCGUAGAUAUUGGGAGGAACACCAGUGGCGAAGGCGGCUCACUGGACCGGUACUGACGCUGAUGCGCGAAAGCGUGGGGAGCAAACGGG